rnacentral:tRNA from 1 species
ACCCGCGUGGUAUAAUGGCCGUGCCUCGGUCUCCAAAACCGAUGACGGGGGUUCGAUUCCCUCCGCGGGUG